rnacentral:rRNA from 1 species
GACGAACGCUGGCGGUAUGCUUAACACAUGCAAGUCGAGGGGUAACGAGAGGGAAGCUUGCUUUCCUUGUCGACGACCGGCGCACGGGUGAGUAACGCGUAUCCAACCUGCCCCCAACUAAGGAAUAACCUUGCGAAAGUAAGACUAAUACCUUAUAAUUUCCUCAGAUGACAUCUGACGAGGAAUAAAGAUUUAUCGGUUGCGGAUGGGGAUGCGUCUGAUUAGCUUGUUGGCGGGGUAACGGCCCACCAAGGCAACGAUCAGUAGGGGUUCUGAGAGGAAGGUCCCCACAUUGGAACUGAGACACGGUCCAAACUCCUACGGGAGGCAGCAGUGAGGAAUAUUGGUCAAUGGGCGGAAGCCUGAACCAGCCAAGUAGCGUGCAGGAUGACGGCCCUAUGGGUUGUAAACUGCUUUUAUACAGGAAUAAAGUUAGCCACGUGUGGUUAUUUGUAGGUACUGUAUGAAUAAGGACCGGCUAAUUCCGUGCCAGCAGCCGCGGUAA